UGGGGAACCUUCGCAAUGGGCGAAAGCCUGACGGAGCAACGCCGCGUGAGUGAAGACGGCCUUCGGGUCGUAAAGCUCUGUUAUAUGGGACGAACGUAUCUAUGGCCAAUACCCAUAGAUAGUGACGGUACCGUAAGAGAAAGCCACGGCUAACUACGUGCCAGCAGCCGCGGUAAUACGUAGGUGGCAAGCGUUGUCCGGAAUUAUUGGGCGUAAAGGGCGCGCAGGCGGCCGGUCAAGUCUGUCUUAAAAGUGCGGGGCUCAACCCCGUGAUGGGACGGAAACUGGCAGGCUGGAGUGUCGGAGAGGAAAGCAGAAUUCCUAGUGUAGCGGUGAAAUGCGUAGAUAUUAGGAGGAAUACCAGUGGCGAAAGCGGCUUUCUGGACGACAACUGACGCUGAGGCGCGAAAGCCAGGGGAGCAAACGGGAUUAGAUACCCCGGUAGUCCUGGCCGUAAACGAUGGAUACUAGGUGUAGGAGGUAUCGACCCCUUCUGUGCCGGAGUUAACGCAAUAAGUAUCCCGCCUGGGGAGUACGGCCGCAAGGCUG
rnacentral:rRNA from 1 species